GCAAUGAGUGGUGCAGAGGAGACACGAUUACUCCCUGUUCCGGAACCACCGACUGAGCCUGCUGCAUGCGAUGAUCAUUACCAAGGAGCAGAAAAAUUGUAUAUUUUUAAGAUCCGGACAUUUCCUGUAGGCAUGUGAUAGACUGUGCCAAGAGAAAACUGCCAUCAAACGCUGGCUUCCGAGUCGAUCGGAUCCGUCGCCAGAGAGUAAUGCCUGUGGCCCCAUUCGAUUUCGAUGUUAUGAGCUACAAGAAUCGGUGCCUCACUGAACUAGAAGGGUUUGGUAGGAAUAGAAAGCCAUUCUCCGAGCGACUAGUGGAUCAAACAACAGAACGUUUAAGAAAUGAGCGGUUCGGCUUAAUCGUGAAGAUUUUUAAGUUAAAAGGAACAACCGAAAUCACAACAUCGACGAACCUGGAACCGAAUUACUCAACGACAACCUUAAACUUGGUUCGGUAAUGAACUUGGUUCUCUGUGUAUUCUGCAUAGUUAUUCUUAUCCUUAUUUUGCACAGCGCUUUCCAGUCUACAAGAAACUGACAAAUAAUAUUUUGUCUCAUAAGAUGAGCGGUUUUGCCGGGAAGAAGGCAUUGAAACGAGCUUGAGCUAAAACCUGUCUGAACAAGUGAAAUGGCUAUGACUUAUUAUUUUAAGCUGGGCUGGAGGCCCAUUC